rnacentral:rRNA from 1 species
AAGCGGUGGAUCAUGUUGUUUAAUUCGAUGAUACGCGAAGAACCUUACCAGGUCUUGACAUCCCCCGCGAUGCUUUAGAGAUAAAGCGGAGGUAUUCGGGGAGACAGGUGGUGCAUGGUUGUCGUCAGCUCGUGUCGUGAGAUGUUGGGUUAAGUCCCGCAACGAGCGCAACCCUAUUGCUAGUUACCAUCAUUAAGUUGGGGACUCUAGCGAGACUGCCAGUGAUAAACUGGAGGAAGGUGGGGAUGACGUCAAAUCAUCAUGCCCCUUAUGACCUGGGCUACAAACGUGAUACAAUAGCUGGAACAAAGGGAUGCGAAGCAGUGAUGUGGAGCGAAACCCAUAAAAACAGUCUCAGUUCGGAUUGAAGUCUGCAACUCGACUUCAUGAAGUCGGAAUCGCUAGUAAUCGCGGAUCAGAACGCCGCGGUGAAUACGUUCUCGGGGUUU